AACAGCAGAAUAGUCAGUGUGACCUAGCCUUGAGAUAACGAUGUUUUGAGAAGAGAAAGUGAGAAAAUACUGCAUUAGAUAGUAAAUGGCCAAAAUAAAAUGCAGAUGUUUUUAAUUAAUGCACGUCACAAUGAGGUAUAAAUGCUUGUGUGAUUUUGCUUGUACUUUGCUCUCUGCCAGCUGUACUCUUCCCUUUCAAUUGCUCAAAUAAAGCUGUCUCUGAUUUUGUUGCUUCCAACCUGAGAGUGGAGUUCGUUUUCUUCCACAAUAUUUGGUGCCGUGACUCAAAUGGCUACGCCCAGCUGAGGCAGCGACCGCUACUACGGACUGUCCCCCUUCGAACCCCAGGCGCCAACUCAGAGUGACCGUGGCACUCAUUUUACUGGACAGAUUGUAAAAGAAUUAUGUGCAGCCUUGCAGAUUCAACACAACCUCCACUGCCCUCACCAUCCACAAUCUGCUGGGACAGUGGAACGUCACAAUGGGAUUCUGAAAAACAAACUGGCUAAGAUUUGUGCAGAGACAAACCUCAAAUGGCCAGAUGCCUUGCCAUUAGCAUUGAUGAGCAUGAGGGCCACUCCCAACCGAAAGACUGGACUCAGCCCACAUGAGAUUUUGACAGGGCACCCGAUGUGACUUCCAGUAGGGCCCCCACUGGCCCUUGCUCAGAUGGACAUUCAUUUGAUGGAUGAUAUGAUGCUUAAUUACUGCCAGACACUAAUGAAAUGUGUUAAGUCUUUUUACUCACAGGUGAAAGCAGCAUUACCCAAGGACCCUGAACAGCCUUGCCACUCCUUGGAAUCAGGAGAUUGGGUCUACGUAAAGGUCCACCAGUGAAAGAAUGCUCUGGCUCCAUGCUGGAAAGGCCCUUACCAAGUCCUGCUGACUACCAACACGCUGUGAAGUGCCAAGGACUGACUGCCUGGGCCCAUGCUUCUCACUACAAAAAGACCCCUCCACCUCGAGAUGAUUCUACAUCAACUGCUGAUCAGCUUGUUUCUACUUCUGUUCCUCCCCCUGAACUGCAGGAGAAAAGGACAAGGUGAAGUGCUAGUAACCUCUCCCUUGUCCGCUGAUGAAAUCAUUGUGUUGUCAGCAUUUGCUACAGAAACCACAGCACUACAGGGUGACGUGCUGGUAACCUUUCCCCUGUAUGAUGCUGGACCACGACUGUUCCAGGAAAGAAGAAAAAAGAAAUACUCACUCCGCCGAACCUGCCAAGGCCCAGGAGUUCCUGACUACAAAGGACAUUAAGAACUGGCCCUGGUGGAAGAAACGGAGGAUUGUAGACUGGCAGGGAGGAAACUGUGACCAGUCUUGGGAGUGUGGUGUUCACUGGAUUUUGGGGUUUAUUCCAUCAGCUGCACAGUGCGCUACUGGACAAGUACCCUGGAAAUGUACUAUUCUCCCUAAUUGGAUUUCAGAUGAAGAAUAUUAAACCAACGCCUUAUUGCCACAACCACUACCCUGCCAUUACCUCCAUUUUCACGGCCAUUCCCACCCCGUAACAUACCCAGACAUAGACAAUACUAUCUAUUUGGAUGAAACCCAAUGGCCAAGGCCUUCACAUGCUGGUGAUUUAUUUAAGUAUUGUUUGGAAAAUUCAUUUUUUAAGGUUCAGGACAUGUCAUAUGAGCAAACAACUGACUGGAGAACAAAUGGAUCAGCAGAAAUAGAAGUAUAUGACAUUACCGCAAAUGACUCUAGGGAAUCUGAAUUGGAGAUACAUGGGUUUUAUGAAGGGGUUGAUAUGAUGGCCAUUCCAGGGGUUUGUAGUGUAUUGGGAGAAAGGGGCCCUUGUUGUUAUUUAGUUACCCAAUUAGCAAAUAACCAGGCUCAUACUCAGAAAGUAUGUUCUGCCACUGGAAAGUUUACCUGUACUGAAAUGAUCCCAGUAACUAGCAAUUUAACCUGUACCAUCUUACAAUAUACCUUCUUAUGCUAUUGAUGUUAAUGCCUCUCAAAAGUAUUUGAAAAUAGUUAAACAACAGAUGUGCUAUAAUGCUAUCCCCGAAAGAGAUGUACUAGGACAUCGAAUAACCAUAAUUAAUGCCACAUUAGGGACUGUGACAUUCACCCUGCCCCUAUCCAGCUUUCAAAUUACUUCCACGUAUCCCAAUUGUUCCAAGGGAGCUGCUAUCCACCUAGAACAGCAAAGAGCACGGGUCUCCUCUUGGAAGAAAAGAGGCUUAGCUGGUCACUUAUGGGAUGGUGCAAAUAGUGCAGCAGCAAUUUGGAAUAUUCUUAAGGGCCAACAACAUGAGGAGAAAUUAGGACAACUAGAGAAAGCCACUGGUCUUAUUACUGGAGCACAGCUGACCCAGGUGCAAGCUGGAGUUGGUGAAUUACAUGUUAUUUCCACCCUUAGUUCGAUGACCCUGGAGCUGUUGACGGGAAUGGUAUUGAAUAUCACUGAGGCAGGAAAGGAAUUGCAGUGGGAUCUAGCAUGUUCAGAGAUUCGGGAUUUCCUGAAUGACCAGCUGAUGGCCAUUCGGAGUGAUCUUGAGCAUCAGGCUUGGCCCACUGCCCUUACUAGUGCUUCAGGAGUACCAUCUGAUUUGUGGCCAUGGAGACGUACUUGGAGAUUUUCAGGAUGGAGUUGCAAGUACUCACAGUGCUCCUUCCAAGCAUAUGGGCCAGUAGGAGGGGUGUGGGCUCCUCCAUACCGAAUCCUUCCAGGUCCAUGGGGAGGAUGCAUGUGGGACUGGAUUAUUCACCGUGACGUCUGAGAGAUUAGACCACAUGGUAUGCCUAGCCAAUUUGUUGUUAGUGCUCCUGGAAUAACACCCGAUAUUUGGAUUGGAAUAGGGAAUCAGUGGAUAUUGUGGCCCUUUAAACCCCCGCAGUUUCAGUGCCUAAGAAAAUUGAAGCAAGGGGAAAUUGUCACAGUAUUUGACAAAGAUUGUUGGGAAGGUAUGGGACAAGGAACUACCCUGACAGGACAGUUACUUUUCCAAGCUAAUGAUAGUUGUGUAUAUGUUAAGGCCACCACUUUGCAAGACUUACAUUUUAAUCCCACUAUGGCCACAGGAAAUCACAUUAUUUCUUGGCCUGCAGACAAAACCCUACAAUUGGACCUUGGGUAUCAGAUUUCUUUUAAUUGAACCACUUUGAUACCCGACCGGUUUCAAAAUUUACACUCACUCCUACCAGAGGUUCGGAAAAUUUCUGACUUACAGGAUCAAAUCCAUGUGCUUCAGAAUAUAUAUCAAAUUGAAAAAUGUGCUUUUCAUACAGCUUAUAGAGUGUCUACUUUGUGUACUAAUUAUGAUGUAAUGUGCUAUGUAACUAAGGCAAAGAAACAACCCCAGCAUAUUAUUACAAUGGAGACAUUAAUGUGUGUAUUGCUUUUGUUUAGUCUAGGAUUAUGUUAUUGUUGUAAGGGAUGGACUAAAAAAAAUGCUUCUCAUGUUCAUACUAACCAUGCAUGAUCGUUUUAUCCAGUUAAGAUUUAUAGGGCUGAUUCUGAUCCUCCUGAGCUAGAAACAGAAAUACAAGGCUUGAUGCAAUUGGAGGUUUAAGAAUGUUAGUUGUUCUAAAGGAAGCACAAAGGGGGGAGUAUGGAAGCAGGGAAAGAAAGAGAGGGUUUAAGUGCAGCCAUUUAAGUGUCAGAGACAGAGCAACUGUUGAGCUAAGUCUUAGCCUAAUAUCGCGAGACCUGUAGAAGCAGGACUCACGUCAAAAGAGAGUGGGAAACAGCAGAAUAGUCAGUGUGACCUAGCCUUGAGAUAACGAUGUUUUGAGAAGAGAAAGUGAGAAAAUACUGCAUUAGAUAGUAAAUAGCCUAAAUAAAAUGCAGAUGUUUUUAAUUAAUGCACGUCACAAUGAGGUAUAAAUGCUUGUGUGAUUUUGCUUGUACUUUGGAGAACUUGAGGCAGAGAUGCUCUCUGCCAGCUGUAUUCUUCCCUUUCAAUUGCUUGAAUAAACCUGUCUCUGAUUUAGUGGCUUCCAA